GAUGAACGCUGGCGGCGUGCCUAAUACAUGCAAGUCGAGCGCUCGAACGAGAAGUUUGCUUUUCUGAUGUUAGCGGCGGACGGGUGAGUAACACAUGUAUAACCUACCGAUAAGACUGGGAUAACUUCGGGAAGCCGGAGCUAAUACCAGAAAAUCUGUUGAACCGCAUGGUCCAAUAAUGAAAGACGACCUUGCUGUCACUUAUAGAUGGUUCCGUGCUUCAUUGGCUAGUUGGUAAGGUAACGGCUUACCAAGGCAACGCUCCAUAGCCGACCUGGGAGGGUGAUCGGCAACACUGGAACUGAGCCACGGCCCAGCCUCUACCGGGAGGAGGCAGAAGGGAACUUCCGGAAAUGGGCGAAAGCUUGCCGGAGCACCGCCGGGGGAGUGAUGAAGGUCUUCGGAUCGAAAAACUGUGUUAUUAGGGAAGAAGAGAGGUGGAAGUAACUGUGCACACCGUGACGGUACCUAACCAGAAAGCCACGGCUAACUACGUG
rnacentral:rRNA from 1 species